rnacentral:rRNA from 1 species
GUCCACGCCCUAAACGAUGUCUACUAGUUGUCGGGUCUUAAUUGACUUGGUAACGCAGCUAACGCGUGAAGUAGACCGCCUGGGGAGUACGGUCGCAAGAUUAAAACUCAAAGGAAUUGACGGGGACCCCGCACAAGCGGUGGAUGAUGUGGAUUAAUUCGAUGCAACGCGAAAACCUUACCUACCCUUGACAUGGAAGGAAUCCCCGAGAGAUCGGGGAGUGCCCGAAAGGGAACCUUUACACAGGUGCUGCAUGGCUGUCGU